AAGGUUUGUUUCUCUUUGAUGUGAAUAGCUGCUGCAUCUCUCUCCAAAUUCCUGCUUCUGAUCACCAAGAAACUUUGUUUUGAAUAUUUUUCAUAUUCAAAUAGGAAUUUUAUUCAUGACCUCAAGGGUAGUGUUCUGGCCAUUCUUUGGCAUACAUGUUUUUCUGCUCUUGUCUUUUCCUGGCUUGCACGUUCCUUGCUUUUCUGCUGAAGCCACCUCUAGGAUUGCCAGGAAUGAGACAGAUCAACUGGCUCUGGUCGAAUUCAAGACCCAUAUAACCGAUGACCCUCUUGGUGUUUUGAGAUCGUGGAAUAACUCAAUACAUUUCUGCCAAUGGCAUGGCGUUCUUUGCGGUCGCCGGCAUCAAAGGGUCAUUGCAUUGGAUUUAGGGUCCUAUAAACUAGCCGGGUACAUAUCACCUCAUGUCGGAAAUUUAAGCUUCUUGAGACUUUUAGAUCUAACAAACAACAGUCUUAGCCAAGAAAUACCACCAGAAUUAGGCAAUCUAUCAAGGCUAAAAUACUUGUAUCUAAAUAACAAUUCGCUCAGUGGCGAAAUUCCUUCCAAUGUUUCCUUUUGCUUCAACCUCGUUCACUUUCUUGUUAAUUGGAACCUGCUGGUAGGGAAAAUUACUGGCUCUAUUCCUUUUACAAUAUCUAAUGCAACAAAUCUGGAAUACCUUGCAAGCAACGGCAACAAACAUACUGGAUCAUUGCCUACUUUAGAAAGGUUGAAUAGGCUAGGGUUCUUAAGCUUAAGCUCCAACCAUCUUGGAAGUGGAAGAACUAGUGAUUUGGACUUUUUGCGGUCUUUGCUCAAUGCCACUUACCUAGAGAUCUUGGCUCUAAAUGAUAACAACUUUGGUGGGAUGUUUCCUGAAUUUAUUGGGAACUUCACUUGGCUUAGAAUUUUGUUUCUAGAUGGCAAUAGAAUAUCUGGAAGCAUCCCAAAUGGGAUACAGAAUCUUGUCAACCUGGAAAUAAUGGAGCUGUGGGAGAACCAAAUAUCAGGUGCUAUCCCCCCUGAGAUUGGACAUCUUCAACAGCUAAAUAGGCUAAGGCUGGCGAGAAACAGAUUAUCAGGUAACAUUCCGUCCUCUCUAGGGAAUCUGACCAGUUUAACUUCUCUUUAUUUGGGACAAAAUAAUCUCCAAGGUAGUAUCCCCUCAAGUUUAGGCUUAUGCAAGAAUUUGCUUGAAUUGGAUCUUUCUCUAAACAAUCUGAGUGGCACCAUACCCAAAGAACUUGUCAGCCUGUCAGCGUUAUCCAUUUUUAUGAAUUUGUCUCACAACCUCUUGAACGGUUCCCUUCCAGAAGAAGUUGGAAAUUUGAAAAACUUAGGUGCUUUGGAUGUCUCUGAUAACAUGUUAUCUGGUGAAAUUCCUACAAGUCUUGGCAGCUGCGUUUCAUUGGAAUUCCUACGCAUGCAAAGAAACUUCUUAUCAGGGGAAUUGCCUUCAUCUUUGAGGUCUUUGAAAGGCAUUCGGAUGUUAGAUCUUUCUCGCAACAAUUUAACUGGCCAACUCCCAAAAUUUCUCGAGCAGUUCGACUUGCAGUACUUGAAUCUGUCUUUCAAUGAUUUCGAUGGUGAGAUGCUCCUACAAGGUGUCUUCAAGAAUGCAAGCGUGGUUUCAGUACAAGGGAACAGUAGGCUCUGUGGGGGUGUUCCAGAACUACAGUUACCGCCUUGCAAGUUUCAGAAUUCCACUAAAGGGAGACUGGCCCUUAUGUUCAAGAUAAUAAUCUCUGUUGUGUUUGGGGUCCUAGGAGUAACUACUCUGUUGUCUACAGUAUACUUCUGCUGGUUAAGGAAGAAAGGAAAGGGACCUGUUUUGAGCAAUUCAGAAAACUUGACUUUUAGACUUUCUUAUCAAAGUCUCGUUGCUGCUACUGAUGGGUUUUCUUCAGCUCAUUUGAUUGGAGAAGGCAGCUUUGGGUCUGUGUAUAAAGGAGUGAUCGACGAGUUGGGAACUACAGUUGCCAUCAAAGUACUCAACCUUCUUCGACGAGGAGCUUCCAAGAGUUUUGCAGCCGAGUGUGAGGCCUUGAGAAACAUAAGGCAUCGCAACCUUGUCAAGAUACUGACAGCAUGUUCUGGUGUUGAUUACAAAGGUAAUGACUUCAAGGCUUUGAUUUAUGAGUUUAUGGUCAAUGGCAGCCUAGAGAAGUGGCUACAUCCAACUCCCAUAACAGAUGAGGUGAAUGAGGCACCAAGGAGCUUAAAUCUUCUUCAGAGACUAAACAUUGCGAUUGAUGUUGCUUCUGCACUGGAAUAUCUUCACAAUGACUGCCAACCACCUGUAGUUCAUUGUGAUCUCAAACCAAGCAAUAUUCUUCUAGAUGAGGAUAUGACUGCACAUGUUGGUGACUUUGGAAUAGCCAGAAUCCUUCCAGAAGCAGCCAUGGACUUGUCCAAUAAUGUGACCAGCAGCUCUAUUGGAGUAAGAGGAACUACGGGAUAUACAGCUCCAGGUAUAUACUAGAUGCCAUUCUUUAGCUUCUUAUCUCAUUUAGUUACAUCUUCAUUUUAAAUUUGAACCUUAAAAAGAUUUCAUAUUAUGCUGUGCAAGCAUUAGUAAGAGCUGUAACCCUUCACAUUCCUUUAAGUUCUAACUGUUUGCUUAGAACUGUAACCAAGACAUGCUUUCUUGAAAUUGCAGAAUAUGGUAUGGGAAAUGAGGUGUCAACAUAUGGUGAUGUUUACAGCUACGGAGUCCUUCUGUUGGAGAUGUUCACUGGAAAGAGACCUACAAAUGACAUGUUCAAUGACAGUUUGAGCCUUAGCACGUUUGUUAAGGCAGCUCUGCCUAUGCAAGUCUUAGAAAUUGCAGAUCCAAUACUUGUUCAAGAAGUGGAAGGAGAGACAAGUGUAAACACUCCUCACGGUCACAGAAUCCAGGAGUGCUUGGCUUCAAUAUUUACAAUCGGAGUUGCUUGUUCUGAGGAAAUUCCAAGAGAAAGAAAGGGCAUCAGUAAUUUGUUACUGAACUGCAUUCAAUCAGAAAACUCUGAUGAAACUGAGAGGGGUGGCAGAGAAACCGAGAAGUAAUAUUUCCAGUUACAGGUGACUGACAUGUUAUCUUGUUUUACAGUACUAAAGGUUCCUGAUUAGAUUUACUUCUUUUACCAAUAUUACUCCAUUUAUAUGAAUUUUGUUUUUUUACCCUCAUUUCAGGUUGCACGAAGUAGAUAUUCCUUCUGCAGAUUCAAGCAGCAGCAGCAGCAGCAGCAAUAAUAAUAAUAAUAAUAAUGAGUGUUAUUCUGUUUUAAUUCCAACUACUAGCACUUUUCUUUCCUUGCUGAAAUGCUUGAAUCUUAAUGUUUUCAUGUUUUGUUUAUCUGGUGUGUGCAAAUUACUUGUCAAACUCGUUACAUAAAAUUACUAUCAUUUGUUAUUAUGUCAUGAUAAAAAAAUAAUAAUAAUAAUAAAAACCAAGAAAACAUAUCCUCGUACCUACUAUUUUGAAGGUAUUGUCGGAAUAUAUUAUAUUAUAUUUGACUAGUGAAAAAAAAUAUUUAGUUAUUAUAAUAUAAAUAUUAAAAAUUAUCCAAUGUAAGUCUAGAAUGCAUAUAAUUUUAAAUUUAUAAACAUAUAAAAACAAACAUAUUUUUAACAUAAAAUAAAAAAAAAAUAAAACACAUACUAAGUAUGUAUUCAAUUUUUAUGUCUUUUCAUCAGGGGUUCUUAUUUGUAUAUUCUUAUUCUGUGUUUUAUCAAACUCUUAUUUGUAGAGACAACAUAGCUUUUAUUUAUUGAAGCUAUAAAUAUUUUAAUUUAUUUGUUAUGAUAUUCAUAAAUGGUUAAUAAUAUUAUAAAUAUUUAAUUGCAAUAUAUAUAAAUUAAAGUUUUGGCAUGCAUUCUAAUAAUAAUGCUCAAAUUAAAACAAAAAAAAAAACUUUUAUUAUUGUCAAUGAUGUAUCAAUUGUCCUUAUAAGGCUUUAUUGAUUUGAAAGAAAAAAUCAAAAUAUAAAAGAAAAUGAAAAUAUUAAAAAUAAAAUGAGAAAGAUUGUGAAAAAAUCUAAAAAAAAUUAAGAUAAAAACUCUUUCAUCCUUUCUUUAUAGUAAAUUUUGAGAGUUAAAAAAGUUAAAAAAACAUUUAAUAAGAAUUAAUUCAUACUAUUAUUAAAUUAGCCAGAAUUAAAUCUAGAAAAAUCAUGAAUAUUUUAAAAUUAAUUUCUAAUUCAUCCAUAAUUUAUUCAAAUAUGUUAAUUAAAUAAAUUUGCAACAUAAAUAACAAAAAUUAACUUUAAAACUGUCAUGAAAACUGAUUUUUUUAUGUAUCUAUUUUCAUCUCUCCAAGUAACCAUGUAUAUAUCUCAUAAGUCCUGAAAGAGUAACUAAACCGCAAGAUGCUUUCCUUUAAUCCUUACCCUUUUUUUCUCUUUAAAACAAAUGGUUGAUCCUGACCUUUUCCUUAACUUUCUUGUGCAAUAUUGACAUUUAGAUGGUAGCCUUCACUCGUCUUCCAUGUGACUUGUGUAUUAAAACAGUGUGUUUUCAAAGAAAAUUUGGCAUCGAGAAUAAUCUAAGACAUUUAAGAUCAAAUAUUAAAUUUAAUAGAUCUGUAACCUAAUUGAACAUUUAGCAUAGAUUAGGGACUAAAUUAGGUUUCCUUGUGAUAAUGAAAGUGAGGCAGAGACGAAACUUCCUGCCGACCCUCCACUCGUCUUCCAUGUGACUUCUUUUCUUUUCUUUUAAGAUGGGGACCCGCCUUGGCAUCUUCCUUGUUCAUUCAUUCAUGAAGGCCUACCAGGAAAUUGCCUGACAGGUCCUGGAAAGAGGCUUGCGAAGUUGCAUGACAACUUCCUAGCAAUUCCUCAGUUCUUGAAUGUUUCUCUCUGUAUAUAUACCAGACUCGGCAAAACUUGGCCAAAUCCACGCGGGAAGGUAAAGUCGGUUUGAAAUAAAAAAUGGGGGCGAUGCAAAUAUUUGAUGUCCGAGACAAGCUGAGAAGAAAAGAAGACGCAAGAUCAUUAUGUCCAUGCUGUGGAGGGCCAGUGAUGGCAAUGGAUUAUGAUUCGCAUUUAUACUUCUGCUUCAUCCCCAUCUCCCAGAAAGUCAAGAGGAAGUUUUCCUGCGUUGUCUGCUCCAGACGACUGGUUCUUGCUCAAUGAUCUUUAUUCUCACCACACAGUCUUGAAUAUAUCAUCAUAUCCAAUGCGUGGCAAGCUCUCUGUAUCUCAAUGUGAUCAGGGUCGUGCUAGCUACUGUGCUUUGAUGUCUGAUGAAAAUAAUAUACAUCUGUGAUUUGCAGACAGCAUAUUUAUGUCAUGUAAUAUUGUUUAUAGUGAUUCCCAGGUAGCUGUAAUGCUUGUUAUGGUAUAUGAAAAUCAAUUGGCUUCGUCAUCAAUGUCACAGUGUUCCCCUGCAUUCAAGCGCAGCUCAUCUUCACAUUUUUAUAAUGUUAAGGUUGGGAUAUGAAUUAAUUUAUAACCACCGCUUUUAUAAUCCAUGCGUUCUGGAGAGUUGAGGAAUUUUUCGCCAAUUUAGCUCCCAGUUUAUUGUCUUUUCUUAGGCUUUAUAUCAAGUAGUGUUUGGUAUUAUAUUAGACAGAUUUCUCUCAAGAAUUUACACAUGGUUUUUUGACACAACCAUAAUGGAAGUUAGAUCAUGUAGUUUCUCGCAGUUGAGAACUUUGAUUUUGAACUAAAAGAUGCUUAGCUGAACUCUGCGUUACGUUGCUUAGCCCCUUGGGAACAAAAACAUGAGUCAUAGAAACCCUUUUACUUCAGAGACAAAAAGUUGUUGUAUGUGCUUAAUUUAAUACCAUAUUUAUUUUUGUAUUUUAAAAAUGUUUUUGAAAAAAAUUAAUUUUUUUAUUUUAUUUUAUUUUAAAUUAUUUUUUUGUUUUUUUAUAUUGUUUUAAAGUGUUGAUGUCAAAAAUAAUUUUAAAAAAAUAAAAAUAUUAUUUUUAUGUAUUUUCAAGUAAAAAAUAUUUUAAAAAAUAACCGCUACCAUGUUCUCAAACAUUAUAUAAGACAAACAAGAUUAUAUUUGCGGUGCAUCUCAUGUUUCUAAAUAAAAACACAUUUUUUUGUUUUUAUUUAUUUUUUAUUUGAUGAUGAGGUUAUUUUGAAAUUUUGUUUCAAACGAUAUUUUUUAAAUUUUAAUUUUUAAAAAAUAUAUUUUUUAUAUUUUUAUGUUUUUAAUAUGCUAUUCAAAAUAUUUUUAAAAAAAAAAAAAUAUAUUAUCUUAAUAUAUUUUUAAAUAAAAAAUAUUUUUAAAAAACAACUAUUAUUAUAUUUUAAAAAACCUACACCAUAAUUUUUAAAUAGUUAUGAGUAGUUUAAAGUUUAAACAACUCAAUACCAUUAUCUAAACUAAAAAGUACAAAAGAGGAUGAUAACUUCGCAUGCCAUCCUUCCAUAAAUUUCCACCCCACAUUCCAGUCAUGAAAAGGAAUGGGUGCACAAAGAAUCGUGCGUUGAGUGCAUCGCCCUCGUAUACCUCAUAUGGCUUGGAAAGAAAUGACUUAUAGUUAAAUACUACUCGCAUUUAUUAAUUGACGAUGAUAAAAAAAAAAAUGAAAAAAAAACGGUUUCAAUACAUAAAUAUGCACAAUAUAAGGGGAAAUAUCAAAUAAAUAAAUAAAACAUAACCAGAGAAAAAAAUAUACAAAAAGACCAGCGAAUCAAAUAAUAAAAAGAUAUGUGAAAAUCUAGAAAAUAAUAUGAUAUAAUUUUUUUUUAAAUUUAAAAUUUAAAUUGAAAAUAGGUUUAGACACUUGAGAAAUAAAAUCCAUGCCUUCAAAUAUAGUUGGAAAUACAUUGAUUAAGAUUAUUCUUAAAUAAAAUUAAUCUCAUUUAAUGAAAAAAAAAUGUCUCUAAUUAUAUCGUAUUAUCGAAAAAAAAAAAACGAUGGAGCACUGAUAAUCUUGAAUGUAAACGGGGAUCUUACCCAUAUAAAUGAAAGGGGUAUGGAAUAUGAAAAGGGAGCUAAAGAAUGAGAAAUUCUCUAUAUUUUUUAUUUUUUUUUGGAUAUUUAAAUGGGUCAUAGCCCAAAUCUACGUUUGGGCCUUCUUCCACUCUCAUAACUUGAAAUAUAAUUCUCCCAUAUAUUAACGGCCUAGAUCACUUAUCCCUUAAAAAGCUCUUCACAACCGUCAGGUCCAAAAAAUCCAAAAUUUAUCAAAAAAUACAGUACAAACACAGUCCAAACAAGCUCUAAAUAAUUGUUGGGCUUUGUUGCUUCAAAAGCAAUUUUCAUUAAAAAUAAAUUAUGUUUUUGUAUUCAACCACGCAAGCAAACAAACGGUUGCUUACAUUUCCUCUUAUCUACAUCUCCCUCAUACUUCCAUUGGAAUGGUCUGUUGGGAAACAGAAAUAAAUUACGUAUUUUAUACUAUGUUCUUUUGUCAGGUGGAGAGCUUGAGUUAUUGCUCAAGUAGCGCUUAGUUUCUCUAGCUCUUUCAUUCACCUGUAAUAACGGGUGAACUCAUGUGAGAAAUGAGUGAUACCAAUGGGAUGGAUUUUUAGCAUGUUGAUGCUCAUAAUCAAUAUCUGUAAUUUGUUUAUUAUUCAUCAAAAAAAAUAUAUCAUCUAUCUAAAUUCUAUCAAUUAUUAAAAUCAGAUGAUAUAUAUUGCAGAUAUAUAAAUUAUUUUAUAUUAAACAAUUAAUAGUGUGUACGAUUUUAAUAUUAUACACGGAUAAUAUUUGCAGUGUCACUGUUCAACACCUUUUAUAUAUGCGUGGUUGGAUUUUGAAUCGGAUUGGUAAUCCUCAUGCUAUAUAUAACUCGUUUGCCAUUCGAGUUUGUAUAGAUUAGAAUCUAUCGGGUUGGAUUUUAAAAUGCUCUCCCGUGAAAUUUGAUUCGGUGGACAUCCAGGAAUCGAGGCCUGCAUAACUGUCGUCCAAUGUUAGAGGGGAUAUCAAGAUUUUCGAAACAUUUUCAAGAGCAUUAAAAAUGAAGUGUGUGAAAUCCAGCUCAUUAUCGUGCAGUGGACGUGGUUUCCAAACCUGAAACCACUCGAGUGUCGAAAAUCUUGAUAUCACCAAACUCAAUCUUGGUCGAAUGUUCUUGCAAUCCACCGAUUCUUGUCCGUUACACAUGGAUUUCCCUUCGAAUUUUAUAAUGAAAUAGCUGGUCGGCAUGGUUGCACCAACCUUGACAUUUAAAGGCGAUGGAUACAGAUUUUCACAGUGGCUUGCAAGUCAUUGACCUCCAAGUCGUGAUUCACGCAGUUGUGAACCUUAAAUACAUGGCGUGUGGUGCUUUCCAUCCAGCUUAGACAAUAAGUUUGCAGUCUUAACUAACAUUUAUGUCUUUAUCGUGACUUUAAAUGUUGACGUCGCUCUCCAUAGCUACAUAUAGCAAUGUUAAUUUAAGAAGACUUAAAACCAUUUAGGAGGUGGUCAGUAUAAGAGUUUGGGACUAAAAAAUUUAUUUUUUUUGUUGUCUCGAGUUCGAGCCUUGUGAUUACUCAUAUGAUGGCUACUGUUGACUUAUAUAGUUAUUAAUUUUAAGACUCGUAUGAUUAAUUGAGAUGCGUGCAAACUGAUCUGGACAUCCAUGUUAAUCAAACAAACAAAAAUUAAGAAGACUUAAGACUCGUGGGGAUUUCUUUUUUCUUUUGUCACGAAAGGAGCAGAAAAUGCACUAAAGAAACUGGUCGUAUUGCUCCACUACCGUUUUGUAUUGCCAUCGUAUUCAUUUGUCUACCAUCUUGUUUGCUCUCAACCACCCAUCUUGGACAACUUGUAACACUUGAUAUGCUUUGUUUCCAAGUAGCCCAUUAGCUUCCUUUUCACAGUUAUUUACUUUAUCUUUCUAGGGUCGCACAAUCAUGUUCCCCUGUGCUUUGCUGGGGAUUGAAUUUUUUUUUUUUUUCCAUUUAAAAAAUAUUAAAAAUAUAGAGAUAUUUUGAUAACAUCAUUAAAUCUAAUCAAGCAAGCAAUUUUAAAACCUGUUAAUUCGGCUCUCAACCUUGAGUCAUGAAUUAAAUUAUACAGAAGCUAUUAGAUGCUUUCAAAAUCCAUCAUUAAUAUUUUAAAAAUAUUUAUUUAAAAUCAUGAUAACUAUAUAAAAAAUAUAAAAUAAAAAUAAAUUAUAAAUUUUAUUUAUCAACUAAUUCAAUAUUAAAUAAGAGUGAAAUAAAAAAUAAUAAUAUAUAAGAAAAAUUAAAGAGCCGGAAACUAAAAAAAACUAUUAGUUUUAAUGGGUAAACCCAUCAAAAUAGUGAAUUGGAUAACUUGGGUCAAGGUUAUCGAGAUUUAUUUUUCAAACUAUAAUAACCUCAUACAAAGCAUAACGAAAUAAAUUAUGAAACUUAAUUCUCAAACAGUUCAAUAUCAAAUGAUGAAAUAAAAAAAUAAAAUUAAACUUAAAAUUAAACUUGUCAUACUCAUAAACAAGGUCAUGAACUUUCUAGAAUUUAAUAAAAUGUUUUUUUUCAAAAUUAUUUUUUUAACUAUAUGAUACAAAAAAUAGACAACCACACAAUAGAAUUCAUUUUUUUAAAAAAAUACCAUGCUAAAACCGUAACUAGGAUAACUAGAGUUACCCUGCAAACCGGGUCAUUGAUUCCACAGAGUUUAUAAAUCUAGUUUUUUUAAAUAAUUUUUUAUUUAACUAAUUUUUUUUUUAAAAUAAAACAUGCCGCGAUGCAGUGAUAUUUUUCUGAUACCAACCUGAUACUAGAAUAUUUUAUUGAUACUACAAUAACCAUAUAAAAAAUAAAUUAUCAACUCUAAAUUUUUUCAAACACAUUAUAUAAUUAAAAAAAAUCAAUAACGAGAGAGGAAAAAAAAGGAGUCAAAAUGCCAAAAAAAAAAAACUUUGAAUUUUUAUUGUAAUCCAAUAGGCGUAGAGAAAUAGUGAUUUCUCUCGCAUCUUCAAGCUUUAUUUAUCAUAAUAAUAAUAAUAAUAAUAAUAAUGUGUACUCGAGCAUGUUUUCAAGAUAUUUGUCUACUUUUACAAAAGUUUUCUGUUUUUUUCUCCCGUGUUGCAUUCAAGGACUGCUCUGCAUGCCCCACUCGUUCCCCGAUCACGCUUUGGAACUAAAAGUCCAUGUCCUUCAUAGUUAAAGUUCAAUAUUUUUUAAAAAAAAAAAAAGUUCAAUAAAUUUUAAUUAAUUUUAAAAUUUAUAAAAUUAAUUAAAAUGUAUAAAAGCUUAUCGGAAUAUUUAUAUUAAUAAAAAAACUAAAAAUGAUACAUAUAUAUUGUAACAUGAUUGUUAGGUGGUUUCUUGAAUUGCACGUAGUCGCUUUUUUUAUUUAAAGAGUGUUUAGAGUGUGGUUGUUGUUAUUUUUUAAAGUGUUUUUUACUUAAAAAAACAUGUCAAUAAUAUUUUUUUAUUUUUUAAAAUUAUUUUUGAGAUCAGCACAUCAAAAUAAUUUGAAAAUAUCAAAAACAUAUUAAUUUAAAACAAAAAAAAAUUUUAAUUUUUUAAAAAACAUUUUUAAACCACAAUACCAAGCGCGCUUUAGUCUAAUUCAAGUUAUUAAAAAUUCAAAAAAAAUUUAUUUAUUUUUUGUUAAAAUUGAGUGCGAUUUGUAUUUUUUGGAUCGUUUUGAUGUGCUGAUAUCAAAAAUGAUUUUAAAAAAAUGAAAAAACAUUAUUGGCAUGCUUUUCAGCACGAAAAACUAUUUAAAAAGCAACCGCUACCACACUCUCAAACACAAACUUGUUUUCAGACUUUCAGUUGAUUCAAGAAUCUAUAUUGUAUGGCUGGAUCUAAGCUUGACUUGAAGUUGAAUAAAAUAAUGUAUUAGUCCGAUGACCUGCUGAGUUU
rnacentral:lncRNA from 1 species